rnacentral:rRNA from 1 species
ACCCGCUGAACUUAAGCAUAUCAAUAAGCGGAGGAAAAGAAACCAACAGGGAUUGCCUCAGUAACGGCGAGUGAAGCGGCAACAGCUCAGAUUUGAAAUCUGGCCUCGUGUCUGGGGCCCGAGUUGUAGUCUGCAGAGGAUGCUUCCCGGCUGCGUGGGGGCCCCAAGUCCUGUGGAAUCAGGGCGCCAGAGAGGGUGAGAGCCCCGUCUAGGGUCCCCAGCGCGGCUGCUAUGCGUAGCUCCUUCGACGAGUCGAGUUGUUUGGGAAUGCAGCUCUAAAUGGGUGGUAAAUCUCAUCUAAAGCUAAAUACUGGCCAGAGACCGAUAGCGCACAAGUAGAGUGAUCGAAAGAUGAAAAGCACUUUGAAAAGAGAGUCAAACAGCACGUGAAAUUGUUGAAAGGGAAGCGCUAGCAACCAGACUUGGCCUGCUGCGGUCUAUGGUGCAGGUGAGCAGCUCCACUGCUGCCUGCUCCUUCCGUCAGUGUGGCCGGGCCAGCAUCAGCGCAGCGGGUGGCAGUAAGCGCUGGCGUGGAAUGUAGCUCUCCUUGGGGAGCGUUAUAGCCUGCUAUGCAUGCCGCUGCCACGCUGUGCUGAGGAACAUGCCCUGCUUCUUAGCGCGGGCCUGGAUGCUUGGCGUAAUGGUUGC